UACGAAGGGGGCUAGCGUUGUUCGGAUUUACUGGGCGUAAAGCGCACGUAGGCGGAUCGUUAAGUCAGGGGUGAAAUCCUGGAGCUCAACUCCAGAACUGCCUUUGAUACUGAGAAGCUGGAGUCCGGGAGAGGUGAGUGGAACUGCGAGUGUAGAGGUGAAAUUCGUAGAUAUUCGCAAGAACACCAGUGGCGAAGGCGGCUCACUGGCCCGGUACUGACGCUGAGGUGCGAAAGCGUGGGGAGCAAACAGG
rnacentral:rRNA from 1 species